AUAGGUACCUGUAUUCUGCCUGGACUGCUGGGCAGGCAUUAGCAAUCUGGGAAAGGUCUGUCUCUGUUAGAGGUUUCUCCCUGAGAAUCCCUUAUGACAGUCCCACUUUUCUAGGGGGCUGGGUGGGUGGAAAUCCCAGCUGCUGCCAGGAUGAGGGGGCAGAGCUUUGAUCAUUUUUAUUCAGCCUUGACUUGGGUCUGAGGCGGAGGUUCUCAGUCUAGAAGUCAGCAGGCUGUCCUUUCAUUUACUUCACAGAGGCACACAUGCAGACAGAAGAAGCACAUGCUCUCUCUUGCUCUCUCUCUCUCUGUCUUUCAUACGCGUGCGUGCACACAUACACACACAUCCCUUGGCUGGUCUACGCAGGCAGCUUAGUGUCAGAGCCACAGCCGAGGCACAGUCCAAUGAACAUAGCAGCACCGGUCUUCAUGGUGGGAAGAGGGGGCAUGGAAGGUGAUGACAACAAUGGAGAAGACUCCUUCUUCGGCAAGUUUAGAACUUUUGGAAAAAGUUUGAGUUUUGUUUCAAGUCGAUCCAUGUCACUGCUAUAAUGUCUUUCAAGUGAUCUGAGUUCUUCUGGAUCAAGAAAGUAAUAGAACUUGGGACUGAAGGUGCUAACCCAGUUCAGAACAUUGUGCCUGAGAGCAUGAAAGAUACUACCAGUAUAUUGAACGACCCAUUGAUUCUUCUGAGGUGAAUCCGCUUAGAGUCAAAUGGCUAUAGGGAAUCAGCUCAUAUAUUCUGGCUGAAGGCAAUUCAGAAUGGGAUUGCUUCCUUCAGGAGUGAACACAGUCUUCCAGAAUUGUUGUUAGAUGGAGAGAUCUUUGUUAUGCAAAUGUAAAUGGUGGCCAUUCUCAGAGCAGAAUUAUAUUUAUUUCCCAUCAUGAUGCGCCCAGUGCCAUUCAGUUUUACUACAAGCGGAUGAUUGAUCGUGCCCGCCAGCUGCCUAAUAUCAUAAUUAACAAAGUUGCUACCGUGUCUGAGAAGUUUAAUCGAAAAAAAAUUGCCAGCAGUCUAAUGCCGUCGUUGCCCAUGAGGAUGAGAAACACAGCAAAGUCGACUUUUGGACUAAUGGAUCUGCAGAACUAUGUGGGCAGAAUGAGAAAUAAUGCUCCUGGGUGGCUAAUGAUAGCCAAGAGGACCAUGAUUUAGCUUGGGCAAAACAGCUUGAAUAGCAAAAUGGCUUUCCAGAAUUCAGAGUAAAGGAAUUUCAGAAUGAAUGCACUGAUGCUAUGACAAUCAUAUACUGAUACUAUGAAAAAGCAGGUUUGCUGUGCUGAUAAAGUGGGAAGGAGGAGAGUUCUGCCCCGAGUCCAUUGGAAGAAAGGAGGCUAAUAAUGAAGGAGUCAGUAAAGGAGGCCAGUGCCGUGAGGGUUAUCUCACAACCCCAGAUGCUGGAUAAGUUGAAGAAGGCAAAAUCGCUUUUGGAUGGCAUUCAGGUCUGAAUGAUGAUUUGGAGAAGAAAAGACCAUUCUUUCUGAGAUUGCUCUGAUGAUACAGCACCACCAAGAUAAAUCAGGAAUCAAAAGGAAGGAAGGAAGGAAGGAAGGAAGGAAGGAAGGAAGGAAGGAAGAUGUCUACACAUAAGGGAAGGUCUCCUGUGCAGCAGGUUCAUUGCUCUCCAUGUCUAUUGACCCACAACAAAACACAAGAAGAAUUGUUCCAUUUAAAUGGAUUGUAUAUCCAUUUACAGAUGAAUUGAUGGACUACUAUUGUCUCCAAGAACAGAGUCACACACACACGGGCUCAAGGAUGCAGUCAAGUAUCCUAACCAUUCAACUGUUUUGCCUUUCAUCCAUAAAGUUAUUUAUGUCCAUUAUAACUGCAAUAUGUAUACUAAUCCCUUGUUACUUGUACACUAUCGAAAUUAUUCCAGGAAUUUGUGCCAGAAAUCACUUGUGUAACAUCAUCUGGCCACCAGCUAAUCUAUAGCACUGUUUUUGUACAGAAUGCUCAACUGAAAGUGUACAGAUGGAAGAUCAGAAACAGAGAUGGAAAACACAUGUAUAUAUGUAUAGUGUGCAUAUGUUACGUUCUGGUUAUGUAUAUUCUCCUCACAACCCAUCCAUUCACUUCAGAGAAAAGAACUGUAUGUAAUUCCAAGCAGGACUUGAAUUAUUAUUAUUAUAUUAUUAUUAUUAUUGCUAACAGGAUCCGAGCUGUUAUGGCAAGCAGAAAUGAUGGCUAGGGAAUGCUGGAAGCUAUAGCACAAAAAGUAACUUUUUCAAGCUCUGUCUCCAAGUCACAGGUUGCAUGGUUGUAGAGAUUUACACUUACUUGAGCAAACCUAGACUUCUGCUUUAGAUUAAGAGUGAGCAGCUGCAAGAAAUUGUUUCAGAAAAGAGGAACGUAGGUUUUUGUAUUUGCAUAUAAAAUUUCACAUCAGUUUAAAAAAAUCUCUUCCACUUUAGCACAUAUCUAUUAUAUAUUCAUACUUGGUAAGUUAGAACAGAAGCCUGCUACUUCCUACCUAAACUAGUUUUCACUUUAUUGGGGAGAAAAUUCAUGAACACUGUAGACUUGUUCAUGUGUCUGGAUAGGAUAUUUUGUGAAAAUCAAAUAAAGAGGGUCAUAUUGUGGAACUAGACUAUGAGUGUGACCUUAAAGAUUCUGCACAUGGAUUGUGUAAAUUGUGUGUGCAAACUGUAAGCAGUGAACUAUUGUGUCAUUAUAUAUCAGGUUUACAAAUAGCAUUGUUUCUCCUGGAAGUUGGGAGGUUUCAUAAUUCAUAAUGCAUAGCACUAGCAACAAGCUACAGUCGGCCCUUCUUAU